GACGAACGCUGGCGGCGUGCCUAAUACAUGCAAGUAGGACGCAGUUGCGAACGGGUGAGUAACGCGUAGGUAACUGCCUAUUAGAGGGGGAUAACUAUUGGAAACGAUAGCUAAUACCGCAUACUAGUAGAUGGACCUGCGUUGUAUUAGGUAGUAGGUAGGGUAAUGGCUCACCUAGGCGAAGAUCCCUAGCUGGUCUGAGAGGAUGACCAGCGACACUGGAACUGGGACACGGUCCAGACGCCUACGGGAGGACGCAGUAGGGAAUCUGCGGAAAUGGGGGGAACGCUGACCGAGCAACGCCGCGGGAGUGAAGAAGGUUUGCGGAUCGUAAAGCUCUGUUGUUAAGGCAGCGGUACUUAACCAGAAAGGGACGGCUAACUACGUGCCAGCAGCCGCGGUAAUUC
rnacentral:rRNA from 1 species